rnacentral:rRNA from 1 species
UGGGGAAUAUUGGACAAUGGGGGAAACCCUGAUCCAGCCAUGCCGCGUGAGUGAUGAAGGCCUUCGGGUUGUAAAGCUCUUUCGGGUACGACGAUGAUGACGGUAGUACCAGAAGAAGCCCCGGCUAACUUCGUGCCAGCAGCCGCGGUAAUACGAAGGGGGCAAGCGUUGUUCGGAAUUACUGGGCGUAAAGCGCACGCAGGCGGUUUGACUCGUCAGAAGUGAAAUACCCGGGCUUAACCUGGGAAUUGCUUUUGAAACUGUCAGACUUGAAUCAUGGAGAGGAUAGCGGAAUUCCGAGUGUAGAGGUGAAAUUCGUAGAUAUUCGGAAGAACACCGGUGGCGAAGGCGGCUAUCUGGCCAUGUAUUGACGCUCAGGUGCGAAAGCGUGGGGAGCAAACA